rnacentral:rRNA from 1 species
CCUACCUCAAGAUAAGAUUUCCCUAGGACUUUAUGUCCUCUAAAGAGCCGUUCGAGACUAGGACGUUGAUAGGUUGGAUGUGGAAGCAUAGUGAUAUGUGAAGCUGACCAAUACUAAUUGCUCGUGAGGCUUGACUAUACAACACCCAAGCAGUUG